rnacentral:rRNA from 1 species
GACGAACGCUGGCGGCGUGCCUAAUACAUGCAAGUAGAACGCUGAAGGAGGAGCUUGCUUCUCUGGAUGAGUUGCGAACGGGUGAGUAACGCGUAGGUAACCUGCCUGGUAGCGGGGGAUAACUAUUGGAAACGAUAGCUAAUACCGCAUAAGAGUAGAUGUUGCAUGACAUUUGCUUAAAAGGUGCAAUUGCAUCACUACCAGAUGGACCUGCGUUGUAUUAGCUAGUUGGUGGGGUAACGGCUCACCAAGUCGACGAUACAUAGCCGACCUGAGAGGGGGAUCGGCCACACUGGGACUGAGACACGGCCCAGACUCCUACGGGAGGCAGCAGUAGGGAAUCUUCGGCAAUGGACGGAAGUCUGACCGAGCAACGCCGCGUGAGUGAAGAAGGGUGUCGGAUCGUAAAGCUCUGUUGUAAGAGAAGAACGAGUGUGAGAGUGGAAAGUUCACACUGUGACGGUAUCUUACCAGAAAGGGACGGCUAACUACGUG